rnacentral:rRNA from 1 species
UAGUGGCGAACGGGUGAGUAACACGUGGGCAAUCUNGCCCUUCACUCNGGGACAAGCCCUGGNNACGGGGUCUAAUACCGGAUAANACUUUUCUCCGCAUGGGGGAAGGUUGAAAGCUCCGGCGGUGAAGGAUGAGCCCGCGGCCUAUCAGCUUGUUGGUGGGGUGAUGGCCUACCAAGGCGACGACGGGUAGCCGGCCUGAGAGGGCGACCGGCCACACUGGGACUGAGACACGGCCCAGACUCCUACGGGAGGCAGCAGUGGGGAAUAUUGCACAAUGGGCGAAAGCCUGAUGCAGCGACGCCGCGUGAGGGAUGACGGCCUUCGGGUUGUAAACCUCUUUCAGCAGGGAAGAAGCGAAAGUGACGGUACCUGCAGAAGAAGCGCCGGCUAACUACGUGCCAGCAGCCGCGGUAAUACGUAGGGCGCAAGCGUUGUCCGGAAUUAUUGGGCGUAAAGAGCUCGUAGGCGGCUUGUCACGUCGGAUGUGAAAGCCCGGGGCUUAACCCCGGGUCUGCAUUCGAUACGGGCAGGCUAGAGUGUGGUAGGGGAGAUCGGAAUUCCU